rnacentral:tRNA from 1 species
AGAAAGUAAUGCAAGAACUGCUAAUUCAUGCCCCCGUGUCUACGCCCACGGCUUUCUU